GAGCUCACUUUGGCAGUACGCAUACUAAAAUUGGGAAUGAUAUAGAGAAGAUUAGCAUGGCCCUUGUGCAAGGAUAACACACCAAAUAAACUUUGUGUUCUAAAUUCUC